UACGAAGGGGGCUAGCGUUGCUCGGAAUUACUGGGCGUAAAGGGCGCGUAGGCGGCUCUAUAAGUCAGGCGUGAAAUUCCUGGGCUUAACCUGGGGGCUGCGCUUGAGACUGUGGGACUUGAGGUCAGAAGAGGGUCGUGGAAUUCCCAGUGUAGAGGUGAAAUUCGUAGAUAUUGGGAAGAACACCGGUGGCGAAGGCGGCGACCUGGUCUGAUACUGACGCUGAGGCGCGACAGCGUGGGGAGCAAACAGG
rnacentral:rRNA from 1 species